ensembl:lncRNA
CAACAUUUUGAGCAUUUUCUACAGUUUGUGAAAUGGUCGCCAUUGGCAUUACGUGCCAGUAGUGUUCGCUAAUUGACUUUACCGGGGAUUAUAUUUAUUACAACGUUACUGCGCGGAAGUGAUCAUAGUGUAUGCUUAUGAACGUGAGUGGUAGGUGUUAUUAGUGCGACUUUACCCUUAAUUAGUUUUCCCACCGGAAGUAGAGUUGUUUAUGCGACGUGAUGGCUAGAGCAGUCCCAAACAAUCGAUCGCGUUUAUUAACAGACCAAUUCUCUCCAAACUUUAGGGUAAGCUAGACUAGAGAUAUGGUUGCAAUAAUACGAACAAGGGCGCAACAGCAUAUUGACAAUGGCGAGAACUUUAAUAUUUACAUUGUGUUAGUGCACCCAUCGCUCCGCAUCCUUAACGCUACAUUGAUGUCGAGAGUCUCUGACACAGCUGUGCUCUGCAGCACAGACACCCUGCUUAUCUGUGAUUCGGCCAGACUGGUGUUGAACUCCAAAGACAUGCGCGGGGUUAGGUUAGUUGCUGUUGGUGUGAGUGGUUGUCUGAGUCUCUCUAAUAACCCUCCAACAGACUGGCGACCUGUCCAGGGUGUACUUUUGCCCUAUGACAGCUGGAAUACAACCUGAAUAAAAUAAGUAGGAGAAAAUGAAUGAUGUUUAUGAACUGUAGUUAAUGUAGUCAGACAAUAAGUUACCGAGCAACAGGCCACAAGUCUUGGUGCAGAAUCAUACUAAGAUUUAAAAAAUAAAAUGUUGGCACUGGUGUUUGAAACAGUAUACUGUCAGUAAGACUGGAGCAACUGCACACAUCUGGAAACAAAUAACUAGAGUAGACAGUGAAGUGUCUGACACUGACCAUGUACCAGUGCCUGAGAACACUGGUAUGGAGGGGGAGAACGCACCUCUUUACUGUAUUUGUCGGAAACCAGACAUCAACUGCUUCAUGAUGCUUUGCCAUGAUAAAUUGGUCAGUUGACAACCAGGAGCCGUACACCUUAACCUCAGAGGCCAGGACAUCCAGGGGCAGUGUGAACACGCACUUGCUUAAAUGGGACGCAAGACGGACUAUAGAGGGCCACCCCCUUGCCAGACAACCAAGUGCUGUCCCUGUCCACGGCCAGUGUGAGAAGGACUCUCACUAAAGUCAACCCACACAAAGCUGCUGGACCAGACAAUAUACCUGGACGCGUGCUCGGAGCCCGUGCUGACCAGCUGACUGAUGUCCUAGCGGGCAUCUUUAACAUCUCCCUGAGUCAAGCUGUUGUGCCACAGUGCUUUAAAACCACCACCAUCAUACCUGUCCCCAGACCUUCCCAAAGCCUAAUUACACAAUGAUUGCCUGAGCCUAUUCUUGUUAAAUGAUGAAAAACUCAAAGGCACGUUUGGGCAGUGGAUCUGUGUGAAAUCAGCAGCUUGCAAAACUAAAUCAAAAUGUGUGCUAUUGAUUCUAAAAAUAGAAAUCACAAUAAAGUUCAACAUUUACUAAAACUGCCAUUCAGUCAUCUGAGAGUCUUUACUCAUGAAAUUAUAACGGUUAGAUGAAUGUAUAUGCAGUGAUUUACUGAUCAAUGAUAAAAGGGGAGAUUUAUGCAAUAACGAAGACUGUCAUGAAAAGUAUUUGGCAUCUGAUCUCCUGUAACCUGCGGAGCUAAGCUGUUUUACCAGCUCUGCUCUCUGAUUUUUCUUUUUUCUUUUAUGAAAAAACACAAGUUGUCAAAGUUAUUUGUUUGCAAAUGUAUUUCAGAAAUAUCGACAUACUUUUUUUAAUCAGCAGAAACUUUAUGUCAGUAGUGCAAAAACCUGCACUGAUCUGACCUCAUUUCUUCCUCAUCCUGAUUCCUGACCUGGGAAGGGAGAGAAAUAUUUGUUUUUGUUUGUCUUCUUGUUUUAUUUAAUUCCUUGUGGGAUUUGGAUCCAACACGUAAAGUAUGCAUAUUAUGCACACACACAAACACACAUGCAGCUAUUACCCAUUUCUUGUAUUCUUGAAUAAAGACAUUGAUUUGACACA